GACGAACGCUGGCGGCGUGCUUAACACAUGCAUGUCGAACGGAAAGGCCUGCUUUCCCUUGUGGAUUGCGGGUACUCGAGUGGCGAACGGGUGAGUAACACGUGAGUGAUCUGCCCCCAACUUGGGUAUAAGCCUGGGAAACUGGGUCUAAUUCCCGAUAGGACUGCAGGGUGGUGCCUGUGGUGGAAAACGAUUUUCUAGUGGUUGGGGAUGAGCUCGCGGCCUAUCAGCUUGUUGGUGGGGUAAUGGCCUACCAAGGCGGCGACGGGUAGCCGGCCUGAGAGGGUGGACGGCCACAUUGGGACUGAGAUACGGCCCAGACGCCUACGGGAGGCAGCAGUGGGGAAUAUUGCACAAUGGGCGGAAGCCUGAUGCAGCGACGCCGCGUGGGGGAUGACGGCCUUCGGGUUGUAAACUCCUUUCGACCGCGAGGAAGCCACCUGGUUGGAAGGGUGGUGACGGUAGUGGUAGAAGAAGCACCGGCUAACUACGUG
rnacentral:rRNA from 1 species